rnacentral:rRNA from 1 species
AUACGUAGGGGGCGAGCGUUGUCCGGAAUGAUUGGGCGUAAAGGGCGCGUAGGCGGCCCGGUAAGUCUGGAGUGAAAGUCCUGUUUUUAAGAUGGGAAUUGCUUUGGAUACUGUCGGGCUUGAGUGCAGGAGAGGGAAGUGGAAUUCCCAGUGUAGCGGUGAAAUGCGUAGAGAUUGGGAGGAACACCAGUGGCGAAGGCGACUUACUGGACUGUAACUGACGCUGAGGCGCGAAAGUGUGGGGAGCAAACAGGAUUAGAUACCCUGGUAGUCCACACUGUAAACGAUGAAUGCUAGGUGUAAGAGGUAUCGACCCCUUUUGUGCCGGAGUCAACACAAUAAGCAUUCCGCCUGGGGAGUACGGCCGCAAGGUUGAAACUCAAAUGAAUUGGCGGGG